rnacentral:rRNA from 1 species
GACGAACGCUGGCGGCGUGCUUAACACAUGCAAGUCGAACGAAGUGGCGAACGGGUGAGUAAUACGUGGGUAACCUGCCCUCCUUUUUGGGAUAAGCAUUGGAAACGUGGUCUAAUACCGAAUAAAGGGGGAUGGGCUCUGGGCCUAUCGUCUUGUUGGUGGGGUGAUGGCCUACCAAGGCGGUGACGGGUAGGCGGCCUGAGAGGGUGAACGGGCACAGUGGGACUGGACUACCUCCCAGAAGACUCAUGGUGGCAGCAGGUGGGGAUAUUGGACAAUGGGCGAAAGGCUGAUGCAGCGUCGCCGGGUGGGGGAUUAAGGCUUGCGGGGUGUAAACCUCGUUCGGUAACGAACGGGUAGGUGGAGAAGAAGCGCCGGCUAACUACGUGCCAGCAGCCGCGGUAAUUC